GAUGAACGCUGGCGGCGUGCCUAAUACAUGCAAGUCGAGCGAAUGGAUUAAGAGCUUGCUCUUAUGAAGUUAGCGGCGGACGGGUGAGUAACACGUGGGUAACCUACCCAUAAGACUGGGAUAACUCCGGGAAACCGGGGCUAAUACCGGAUAACAUUUUGAACCGCAUGGUUCGAAAUUGAAAGGCGGCUUCGGCUGUCACUUAUGGAUGGACCCGCGUCGCAUUAGCUAGUUGGUGAGGUAACGGCUCACCAAGGCAACGAUGCGUAGCCGACCUGGGAGGGUGAUCGGCCACACUGGGACUGAGACACGGCGCAGACUCCUACGGGAGGCAGCAGUAGGGAAUCUUCCGCAAUGGACGAAAGUCUGACGGAGCAACGCCGCGUGAGUGAUGAAGGCUUUCGGGUCGUAAAACUCUGUUGUUAGGGAAGAACAAGUGCUAGUUGAAUAAGCUGGCACCUUGACGGUACCUAACCAGAAAGCCACGGCUAACUACGUGCCAGCAGCCGCCGCGG
rnacentral:rRNA from 1 species